GGAUUUGUAGUGUAGCGGUUAUCACGUUUCCUUUACACGGAAAAGGCCCCCGGUUCGAUCCCGGGCAGAUUCA